UACGGAGGGUGCAAGCGUUGUCCGGAUUCAUUGGGUUUAAAGGGUGCGCAGGCGGGCCAUUAAGUCAGGGGUGAAAGACGGUUGCUCAACAAUCGCAGUGCCUUUGAUACUGGUGGUCUUGGGUGACCUUGAGGUAGGCGGAAUGGGUGGUGUAGCGGUGAAAUGCAUAGAUACCACCCAGAACUCCGAUUGCGAAGGCAGCCUACUGGAGGUUUACCGACGCUCAGGCACGAAAGCGUGGGGAUCAAACGGG
rnacentral:rRNA from 1 species